rnacentral:tRNA from 1 species
GCCCACGGGCGGCGGCUAAAGCCGAAGUGGUAUGAAUCCUGGGGUCGGAGGUUCGAAUCCUCUCGUGGACACCA